UACAGAGGGUGCAAGCGUUGUUCGGAAUUAUUGGGCGUAAAGAGCUCGUAGGCGGUUUGUUGCGUCGGCUGUGAAAUCCCGAGGCUCAACCUCGGGUCUGCAGUCGAUACGAGCAAACUAGAGUGUUGCAGGGGAGACUGGGAAUUCCUGGUGUAGCGGUGAAAUGACGUAGAUAUCGGGAGGAACACCUGUGGCGAAGGCGGCCCCCUGGUUGGAUACUGACGCUGAUACG
rnacentral:rRNA from 1 species